CAGAAAGUUAUUGGGAUUGAAGAGCUCCAAAAUUUGAAUCAUAAGAAUGAUGAUGUAUCUACUCUGCCUUCUAAGCAUAAAACACAGAAGAAGAGAGCUGUAGCGUCGGUUGAGGAUGUGGCUUGGCGACUGUUGCAGGAGUCUGUGGUUAACUACUGUGGCAGCCCUGUUGGGACGAUUGCGGCGAAUGAUCCGUCGGAUGGAAAUGCACUGAAUUAUGAUCAGGUGUUUAUUCGUGAUUUUAUACCGUCGGGGAUUGCUUUCCUGUUGAAGGGGGAGUCUGAUAUUGUUCGGAAUUUUAUACUUAAUACACUUCAGCUUCAGAGCUGGGAGAAAACAAUGGAUUGUCAUAGUCCCGGGCAAGGGCUGAUGCCCGCCAGCUUCAAG
rnacentral:misc_RNA from 1 species